rnacentral:tRNA from 16 species
GGAUGGAUGUCUGAGCGGUUGAAAGAGUCGGUCUUGAAAACCGAAGUAUUUUUAGGGAUACCGGGGGUUCGAAUCCCUCUCCAUCCG